UAGCAAUCAAAAUUCAUAUUUCUUUAAGGGGUUGAGAAUUUUCUGGCUCACUCACUAAUUUUGAGAUUGCACUACAGUUCACCUUUAUUUUUAGGGCACUGUCUUCAGGAUCUCAAGUCAAAGAGCCAGAGUUUUCAGGGCCCCCGAGCUUGGUAGAUCCUGGACUCGUAGCUUGUAUUCCUCUAACCCUGUUUUGGUGUCACAAGCACAGCCCAGUAUCUAAACCACCUCCUCUGUUAUUGACCGGGACCCUGUGGGGAAAGUGGCCCCAAGUGGAAGAGUCACUUCUCUGGAUUUGAGGUUUUCCCAGAUCUCAGCCCAGUACUUUCAAAGUUCCACAGGGUAGAAGUUCAACACGGGUCUCACUGGGCUAAAAUCAAGGUAUCUGCGGGAGUGUCCUCUUUUCUGGAUGUUCCAGAGGAAAGUCUGUUUCUUUGCCUUUUCAGGGCUUCUAGAGGCCAUCCACACUCCUAAGCUCCAGGCUCCCUUUCCCCCCAUCUUCAAAGCCAGCAAUGGUGUGGAGUUCUUGUCACAUCCCAACUCUUUGGUAUCUUCUGCCUCCGUUUUCUGGUUGUAAGGACCCUGCGAUUACCUUGGGUCCACCUGAAUAAUCCAGGAAAUCUCCCUGUUUUUAGGUCAGCUGAUGAACAGCUGUCAUUUCAUCAGCAAUCAUAAUUCCCCUUUCUGUGUGAUGUAACAUACUCACAGGCUCCUGGGAUUAGAAUGUGGGUAUCUUUGAUUCUGCCUACCACAGCCCCUAUAGCAACACUGACAAAAUGUGUGGCCCAAGGGAAUGUACCACUUAAAGUGAAUUUGCUUUUGAGUCCUUAGAGUCAAAUGAAGUAAGGAGAAGACAGUUCCAGGACCAGGAGAGCAUCAUUUUUGGGGAUACUGUUAACUUGAAUUGUAAGAUCUAUGACCAGAAUUUCAGCGCAAUCUAGAAGGGUAAAAUCACAGAGAUCCCAGUUACUGGCCGUUUUCUCAGAAUGGAAUAAAAUGACCAAGGUCCAGCAUGGCUUGACAAGCAGUGUGUAGGUCUGCACCUGGGAUCUGAACCGCCAAACCCAGGGCCGCUGAAGCAGAACGUGUGAACUUAACCGCUGCACCACCAGGCCAGUCCCCCAAAAGUCCAGUUUUUAUCUGCCACCAUACAUAUGUGCCCCUUUACCCCUUUCACCUUUCCCCAUCCCCUUCCCUUUUGGUAACCACCAAUCUGUUCAUAUUGUGUUUGUCUUUCUCUGUGUGACUUACUGUGCUGAGCGUAAUACUAUGGUUAUUGCUAUAGAGUUUCUUCAAUACCCUUCUGGUAUUGUGGCUUUUUUUCAGAUGUAAAACCUAAGUUAGGGACAAAUGGAUGGUUUCAAUGACCUCUCAGACCAUUUUGCUGAAUUGGAUUUUCAGUACAGACCUACCAGUAGAGUUUAAAGUCACAUUCUCUGCUAAAGACUCGGGAUGUAGGGACCUGCGAUAUCUUUUUAACUGCAUCCUGGUCUUAGGUAAUGCAGUAUUCUUCCCAAAUUAUUCAAAGCCAGUUUUUAUCUACCUCCCUGUAUUAGUUUCCUGUGGGCACCAUAAUAAAUUACCACAAACUAGGUGGUUAAAACAACAGCAAUGUAUUCCCCUCACGGUUCUGGAGCCCAGAAGUCUGAAAUCUAGUUGUCAGUAGGGCUGUGCUCCCUGCAGAGCUCUAGGGGAAAUUUCCUCCCUUGCCUCUUCCAGCUUCUGGUGGCUGUCUGCAUCCUUUAGCUUGUGGCCCCAUCACUCCAGUCUUUGCCUCUGUCUUCACGUUACCUUCUCUGCUUCUGUUUAUCUAUCUCCUUUUGCCUGUCUCUUAUAAGAAUACUUGUCAUUGGAUUUAGGGCCUGCCCAGACUAUCCAGGAUUAUCGUCUCAUUUUAAUUACAUCUGCAAAGAUGCUUUAUCCAAAUGAGGUAUCAAUCACAGAUUCUGGGGAUCAGGAAGUGGACAUAUCUUUUAGGGGGCCACCAUUCUAACCUACUACAUUCCCUUUUUCUCAUCUUUUGUUGUUAAAUGAGUAAUAUACAAAUCAUUUGUUUGUGAAUAUACAGAACAAUAUGGAAAUGAAUAGAACAAAUAAAGUUGCCCUUUCAAAUCCUUCUCUACUCAUCGCUUAAGAGAGAAAAUAAUUCUUAAUGGUUUACUCUGUUUUUAGUAACAUCUAUAUUCACAUAUGUACAUGUACGCAUUUAUGUACAUAUACACACAUAUCUAUUGUGAAAAUCUUUUUCCAUUACUGAGAUCAUAGUAAACAGAUUGUUACUUGGUUUAUUCCAAUAGUAACCUGUCCUGGAGAGCUUUCCAUUCAAACAUAUAUGGAUCUACCUUAUCGCAUUUAAGGAUUGCGUGAUAUUUUCUAGCAUGGAUAUGCCUUAAUUAUGUACUCUGUUCAUGUAAAAGUAUAUUUUAAUGGUUCACAUUUCUUUUUUACUAUUGUAAACAAUGAAGCCAUAAAAUUUCUUUAAAACACAUCAUUCUGGAUAUAUGUAAAAGCUUUUUAAGUUAGAUUCUUAAAGGUAAAAUCUAUGAGUCAAAUGGUACCUGGAGUUAAAUUUUUUGUGGUUGCUCCAAAAUUGCCAUUCUAAAAGUCUUCAACACUCCUUCACAGAGUUUAUGAAAGUCCCUGUUUUUCCCACAUCCUUGCCAUUAUUUAAUAUCAUAGUUUUUAAAUCUCACAAAUCUGAGCAAUAAAAGCGAUGCCAUUCUUUAAGGUUAUAGAGUCUAGUGUUUCAUUUAAGAGCACAAACUCUCUCGCCAGGUUUACUCAUUCAUAUUUUGCACUGGUCUUUAAUUACUUUCUGUGAUCUUAUUCUGAUUAUUUAAUCUCUCUGCAGGCCUGUCCUUAUCUGAAAAAUGGGAACUAUAAUGGAAUUGAUGUGAAAGGAUUAUUGUGAAGAUUAAUAUAUAUCAGAGUUUUUCAACCUCAACACUGUUGACUUUUUUGACUAAAUAAUUGUUUGUUGUGGGAUGGGUGUCCUGUGCAUCAUAGAAUGUCUAGCAAUGUCUCUGGCCACUACUCGUUAGAUUUCAGUAGCUUCCCCAUCCCCCAGUUAUGACAACCUAAAAUGUCUACAGACAUUGCCAUGUGUCCACUGUUCCAAAAUAAUCACCCCUAGUUGAGAACCACUGAUAUAUGUAUAUACUUACAUAAGAUAUAUCUAUCUUAGAACACUGCACGUCGUUUAAUAAGUGCUAUCAGAAUUAGUUUUACUAUUAUUGUUACUUGCAUUAUUACUGGUGAUUUUGAACUUAUUUUAAUGUAUUUAUUAGCCAUUUGUAUUCUGUGAAUUGCCCAAUCAAAUCCUUUGUGCCGAUUUUUUUUUUUUUUCUGAUCUCUAGGAAAAAAAUAGUGUCAGGGAUAUUAAUCUUCAUCUUUGUUUUGCAAGACAUUUUCUACUUGGUUAUUGUCAGUGUCAUUUUGCAUGUUGAUCUUUAUCCAGACCCAACAUAUUUCCAAAGAUAGACCAUGUUUCUGAGCCAUAAAACAAAUCUCAAGAAAUGUAAAAGGAUUCAGAUCUACCAGCUUGAUAAUUGACUUUCUAUUUUUCCAAGCUAUUCUUCGUUUCCUUUUUUCCCUUCUUCUGCCUUCUUUUGUAUUAAUUAAUUUGAUUACCUUUUAUCUUCAUCAUUGGCCUAUUAACUACACGUUUGUUUUCUUUUGUGGUUGAUAGACUGUGAUGUUAACUAUACACCUUAUAUCUUCAAGUAAUAUUCUAUCACGUCAUUCAUAUUAUAAGAACCUUACAACAGUGUGCUUCCAUUUCUUCUGUCCCAGCCUUUGUGCUAUUGUUGUCAUAUAUUUUACUUCUUUUUAUUUUAGAAAUCCCACAAUAC
rnacentral:lncRNA from 1 species